rfam:Camelus ferus unplaced genomic scaffold scaffold67, whole genome shotgun sequence.
GAGGGUAAAGUUCAAGUGGUAGAGUGCAUGCUUGGCAUGCGUGAGGUCCUGGGUUCAAUCCCCAGCACCUUCU